UACGUAGGGGGCAAGCGUUGUCCGGAUUUAUUGGGCGUAAAGAGCGUGUAGGCGGCUUGGAAGGUCAGCUGUGAAAACUCGAGGCUCAACCUCGAGACGUCGGUUGAAACCACCUGGCUAGAGUCCGGAAGAGGAGAGUGGAAUUCCCGGUGUAGCGGUGAAAUGCGCAGAUAUCGGGAAGAACACCCGUGGCGAAGGCGGCUCUCUAGGACGGUACUGACGCUGAGACGCGAAAGCGUGGGGAGCGAACAGG
rnacentral:rRNA from 1 species